GAUGAACGCUGGCGGCGUGCCUAAUACAUGCAAGUCGAGCGAACGGACGAGAAGCUUGCUUCUCUGAUGUUAGCGGCGGACGGGUGAGUAACACGUGGAUAACCUGCCUAUAAGACUGGGAUAACUUCGGGAAACCGGAGCUAAUACCGGAUAAUAUUUUGAACCGCAUGGUUCAAAAGUGAAAGACGGUCUUGCUGUCACUUAUCGAUGGAUCCGCGCUGCAUUAGCUAGUUGGUAAGGUAACGGCUUACCAAGGCAACGAUGCAUAGCCGACCUGAGAGGGUGAUCGGCCACACUGGAACUGAGACACGGUCCAGACUCCUACGGGAGGCAGCAGUAGGGAAUCUUCCGCAAUGGGCGAAAGCCUGACGGAGCAACGCCGCGUGAGUGAUGAAGGUCUUCGGAUCGUAAAACUCCGUUAUUAGGGAAGAACAUAUGUGUAAGUAACUGUGCACAUCUUGACGGUACCUAAUCAGAAAGCCACGGCUAACUACGUG
rnacentral:rRNA from 1 species